rnacentral:rRNA from 1 species
UACGUAGGGUGCAAGCGUUGUCCGGAAUUAUUGGGCGUAAAGAGCGCGCAGGCGGUCUAUCAAGUCAGAUGUGAAAUAUCCCGGCUUAACCGGGAGGGGUCAUUUGAAACUGGUAGACUAGAGUACAGCAGAGGAUAGUGGAAUUCCCGGUGUAGUGGUGAAAUGCGUAGAUAUCGGGAGGAACACCAGUGGCGAAGGCGACUAUCUGGGCUGAAACUGACGCUGAGGCGCGAAGGCUAGGGGAGCAAACAGG